rnacentral:rRNA from 1 species
AUUGAACGCUGGCGGCAGGCCUAACACAUGCAAGUCGAGCGGAUGAAGGGAGCUUGCUCCUGGAUUCAGCGGCGGACGGGUGAGUAAUGCCUAGGAAUCUGCCUGGUAGUGGGGGAUAACGUCCGGAAACGGGCGCUAAUACCGCAUACGUCCUGAGGGAGAAAGUGGGGGAUCUUCGGACCUCACGCUAUCAGAUGAGCCUAGGUCGGAUUAGCUAGUUGGUGGGGUAAAGGCCUACCAAGGCGACGAUCCGUAACUGGUCUGAGAGGAUGAUCAGUCACACUGGAACUGAGGCACGGUCCAGACUCCUACGGGAGGCAGCAGUGGGGAAUAUUGGACAAUGGGCGAAAGCCUGAUCCAGCCAUGCCGCGUGUGUGAAGAAGGUCUUCGGAUUGUAAGGCACUUUAAGUUGGGAGGAAGGGCAGUAAGUUAAUACCUUGCUGUUUUGACGUUACCAACAGAAUAAGCACCGGCUAACCUCGUG